rnacentral:rRNA from 1 species
AACGUAGGUGGCAAGCGUUAUCCGGAUUUACUGGGCGUAAAGCGUGUGCAGGCGGAGGUUCAAGUGGUGUAUGAAAUCGCCCGGCUUAACCGGGCGGGGUUAUGCCAGACUGGGCCUCUGGAGGACAGGAGAGGGGCGUGGAAUUCCGGGUGUAGUGGUGAAAUGCGUAGAGAUCCGGAGGAACCCCAGCGGCGAAGGCGGCGCCCUGGCCUGUUUCUGACGCUCAGACACGACAGCAUGGGGAGCGAACGGG